AAUGAACGCUGGCGGCAGGCCUAACACAUGCAAGUCGAACGGAUCCUUCGGGAUUAGUGGCGGACGGGUGAGUAACGCGUGGGAACAUACCCUUUGGUACGGAAUAGCCUCGGGAAACUGGGAGUAAUACCGGAUGUGGUCGAGAGACGAAAGAUUUAUCGCCAAAGGAUUGGCCCGCGUUGGAUUAGGUAGUUGGUGGGGUAAUGGCCUACCAAGCCGACGAUCCAUAGCUGGUUUGAGAGGAUGAUCAGCCACACUGGGACUGAGACACGGCCCAGACUCCUACGGGAGGCAGCAGUGGGGAAUCUUAGACAAUGGGGGAAACCCUGAUCUAUCCAUGCCGCGUGAUCUAUGAAGGCCUUAGGGUUGUAAAGAUCUUUCAGGUGGGAAGAUAAUGACUGUACCACCAGAAGAAGCCCCGGCUAACUCCGUGCCAGCCGCCGCCGUAA
rnacentral:rRNA from 1 species